GGAUGGGUGGCCGAGCGGUUUAAGGCUCCAGUCUUGAAAACUGGCGUGGGGGCAACCCCACCGUGGGUUCGAAUCCCACCCCAUCCGCCA
rnacentral:tRNA from 5 species